rnacentral:rRNA from 1 species
AACGAACGCUGGCGGCAGGCUUAACACAUGCAAGUCGAACGCCCCGCAAGGGGAGUGGCAGACGGGUGAGUAACGCGUGGGAACAUACCCUUUCCUGCGGAAUAGCUCUGGGAAACUGGAAUGAAUACCGCAUACGUCCUACGGGGGAAAGAUUUAUCGGGGAAGGAUUGGCCCGCGUUGGAUUAGCUAGUUGGUGGGGUAAAGGCCUACCAAGGCGACGAUCCAUAGCUGGUCUGAGAGGAUGAUCAGCCACAUUGGGACUGAGACACGGCCCAAACUCCUACGGGAGGCAGCAGUGGGGAAUAUUGGACAAUGGGCGCAAGCCUGAUCCAGCCAUGCCGCGUGAGUGAUGAAGGCCUUAGGGUUGUAAAGCUCUUUCACCGAUGAAGAUAAUGACGGUAGUCGGAGAAGAAGCCCCGGCUAACUUCGUGCCAGCCGCCGCCGUAACAC